GUCAUCUUUAGGUUCGAGACAGUGGGUUAUUCUUAUGUAGCACAGGCUUGCCACUAACAUGGAUCACACUGUUUCUCUAGCUAAAUAUCUAUGUGUGUCCCUCGUAUUUUGCAUGCAGAUUUUGAGUUUGUUUGGAGAUUCAGAUGUGGGAGUUAGAAGAGGUGGAAGGCUUCACUGGGUGGGUACUCAUCACUUAGCACGUCAAGGAGUUCAGCCUUCCAUUGAUCCUUCUGACGGGCAGAAUGACUCCCCUUUUCCUGGAGGGGUCAUGGAUCGCAUUGACGGUGACCGGAUUCUCCACGGCUUUGGAGGGUUUGGAGGACUUCCAAGGCAGAAAUUUGUGAACAGAGACCAUAGAGUGCGCUUUGGUCAGUUCAACUCAGACACACAUGGCUGUAAUGAUAUCCAAACCAGGAGCUGCAGAGUGCAUUCUAACUGUACAGGUUGCUUGGGUCUGUACACUUGUAACGUGGAUCUUGGAAAGUGCCAAUUGAAGGGACUAUCUCGUAAGACAGAUGGUUUCUCCCAGUCUCUGAGAGAUGCUUGAUAGAGAACACCACCAAAUCAAUGAUGUCAGUGUCCUAGAAAUGUUGUUACACCUUAAGACAUGUGGCUAUACUUUCUUACUAUAUAUAUACUAUAC